CAGAGGGUGCAAGCGUUGUUCGGAAUUAUUGGGCGUAAAGCGCGUGUAGGCGGCUUUGCAAGUCGGGUGUGAAAGCCCUCAGCUUAACUGAGGAAGUGCGCCCGAAACUGCAUGGCUUGAGUACCGGAGAGGGUGGCGGAAUCCCCCAAGUAGAGGUGAAAUUCGUAGAUAUGGGGAGGAACACCGGUGGCGAAGGCGGCCACCUGGACGGAUACUGACGCUGAGACGCGAAAGCGUGGGGAGCAAACAGGAUUAGAUACCCUGGUAGUCCACGCCGUAAACGAUGAGAACUAGGUGUUGUGGGUGUUGACCCCCGCGGUGCCGUAGCUAACGCAUUAAGUUCUCCGCCUGGGAAGUACGGCCGCAAGGCUA
rnacentral:rRNA from 1 species